UUCUCAGUCCUCUUUUCUCAUUUUCACUCUGUCUCUCUCCCUCUAGAGCUGCUCUCGAUUUUUCUCAACCCAUAGAAAAUUUAAGGAACGAUGUCAAAAUCUUCUCCGUCUGUAGAGAUCGUUAAUUUUAUUUGGAUUCAGCGUACGCGAUCUAAACAUGGAGUGAGAUUUGUGAAGUUUGAUUUGCUGGGGGGAGGACAAUAUUAUGAAGGUUGUGACAGAGGUUGGACUUGGGGCGGAACCUGUGGAACUGCGAAAGGUUGGUUCCCUAAUCUGGUAUAAGUUAGUAAUUAUCAUGGUAUUACUUGUUUAAAUAUUACAACGUUGUUGUGUUAUUUGUUUUUUUAUUGCGCUGCUAUGAAUCUUAUGGUCCAUUAGCUAUUUUUUAUGCAAUUGCGGCUUGGUUUGUUCUGCCGUUGAGGUAGAA